CAUGACACAGAGAGUCCUUCCGAACAUGUGACCUUCCUGCUCACAACAUAAAGCUCAGCCUUCCCUGAUCUCUAUAGUUCGAUUCAACACCUAUAUCCCAUCGAAGACAAAGGCACCACUUCAAUGCCAGAGAAGAGGAAGACAACGAUGGAGUGCUGUCUAAUGACUUAGUCUCUACAUCUCUUCUUAUGAGAAAGGGGAUGAGACUGAUGCUCAAAUGGUUACCUCUAGGCAGUUCUGAACAUACCCUGGAAAACUGUGUUGAUAUGAAAGGUGUGAACUGAAACGUCAAGAGUGAAAAUGACACUGGCCUAGAUUCAGCUUAAUGACUGACUCCUUCCACCAGUGCCGGGGAACAGUAUUUCUAAUCAUCUUUUUAUUCAGUGCACUGGCUCUUUAACCCCUCUCAUACCUCUUUUCCUGGAUCCCUGGGAUGUACGAGGUCAGGUGCAUGUCUUCCAGGAUGCGCUUGCUGCCCUGUGGAAGCUCCUGAUUUGGCCUUCUGCAGUGUCACGCUCCGUGUAUUUGACAAGCUGAGUUAGACACUCUGUGUGGUAGAGUGUCAGUUUGUCAAAUACCCCAAGUGUGGCUCAUGCCUAUCAGCUCCAGGCCCAGGACAGAAUGAAUAGUCUGCUGGCUGUAUACGAAAGUUUAUGAAACACCCAGCUCUCUCAUUGCUCUAUGGCUUUGAGGGAACUGGAACAUUUUAUCAGGGGAUGUCAGAAUGAGAAAGACGCGGCUCUGGGGCCUACAAAUCUGGGAUAUAUCUACAUACCUUGUGAGAAUUUCAUGGAAUGCCUAAUGGUAUUGAAAAUACAUAAGGGAUACUGGGAAGGAAGAGAAAUUUGACUUAUUAUUAAUGUCUAUUAGUAUCUUCUUUCACAUUUCUCUUCUUGCAGAUAGAGCACCAGAAUUUUCAUACACGCAUCAUGACUUGGAUGAGAAAGUAGGACAUAGAAAUAAAUCCACUUUCUUGCCUUUGGAGCACAUCUUGACCUUACCUACAUUUUAUCUUUUUCUCCUUGGUUUUCUCCCUCUUAAAGCACACUUCCUGCUUCUCUUCACACACCCAAUUCUUCCAUGUAUGUACUUUCUGUCCCCCCUCCUCCACUUCCCCACCCCCCACUCCAUCCCUGCCGCAAGUUUCAAUCUCUCUGGGAAAUUUUGAAAGUCAACCUAUACUUUUUCUUUACUCCUUGAUUAGGUACAGAGAUGUGCUCUUAUAUUUCCUACCACCCAAUAUAUCCUCCUAAAUGGUCAAUGAAUUUUUCCAGGGUAUAUUUUUGAAUUCCCUAUUACAUUGUAAGAGCCUAGAGCAUAUUAUAUUUACUUGGUUGCUGUCUUUCCUACCAUUGUCCAAGAUUAUAAUUUAUUUAAUAAAUGUUUACCAAUUA